rnacentral:rRNA from 1 species
GACGAACGCUGGCGGCGUGCUUAACACAUGCAAGUCGAGCGGUAAGGCCCUUUCGGGGGUACACGAGCGGCGAGCGGGUGAGUAACACGUGGGUGACCUGCCCUCAGCUCUGGGAUAAGCCUGGGAAACCGGGUCUAAUACUGGAUAUGACUCCAUGACGCAUGUUGUGGGGUGGAAAGCCUUGUGCGGCUGAGGAUGGGCCCGCGGCCUAUCAGCUUGUUGGUGGGGUGAUGGCCUACCAAGGCGACGACGGGUAGCCGGCCUGAGAGGGCGACCGGCCACACUGGGACUGAGACACGGCCCAGACUCCUACGGGAGGCAGCAGUGGGGAAUCUUGCGCAAUGGGCGAAAGCCUGACGCAGCGACGCCGCGUGAGGGAUGACGGCCU